rnacentral:lncRNA from 1 species
CCAGGGAGGCUAAGCCAGUUACACCCUUAGCCAGGCCUUUCAGCAAACCAGUUCGAGAACAGGAAAAGAUGAAAUUAUCGAUCGAGGAAAGAGAGCCUAGGUUAUUGAGCAAGGCGAGAUAGUCAAUAAGGGCAUCGUUGAGGGUAUUAACUUUCUUGUAGUCAACAGUUUCGAGGGGUUUCUAGAGGAGGAAGAUGAAAGAGUUGUUUGCACAAUUUGGACCCGGUGGACCGUCGCAAAUGUCCUCGCAACCGUAAGCACUAAGAGAAUUAGCGAUGGAACUGUUACAGGGGACAUUCUGAUUUUGUAUGAUUUUCAUCUGAUAGUUCCUUACAUCUGUUUCAAGCAAUUGUUUUUAAUUAUAGGAUGGAAUUGAAUUGCCACGUUGUGAGUAUCAUUUACAAACGUAGUAGAGAAAUGUGAAAGCAGUGUGUUGUGGAAGCUUGUGUGGAUUAAUAAUGAAGUUGCCAAAGAAAAAAAAGAGCAACAGUUAUAGGAACCCAUCUCCUCUUCCUUACAUUGUUGUGCAAGUUGUUGAUUUUGGCCACUAAAAAUGACCCCAAAAUCAGAAUUGGAGGAGCUACGAUUAUUAUUAUUAUUAUUAUUCUCUUGAAGACCAAUAAUGGUGGUGAAUCUAGGAGAAAAGGACUUGUAAGAAUCUUGCAAUUCUUGUAAACAAUUGUUGUUUCCUGGCUUAGCAGCAAGAUUUGGAAAACAAAAUGGGUUGAGUUCUUCAUCAUCGUCAUCAAAAGUCAAAGAAGUCAAGCACUCAAAAAGGCUUUCAUAAUUCUCAUCCAUGUUGAUACUGCUGUGUCUUUUUUUUUAAUUAAUAUUAAUAUCAGAUUAAUUUAUAUGUAUCUUGAUUAAUUUUAAAAAUUCUAAAAUUAAUAAUUAUAUAAAUUUUUAAUAAUCUUAAAACAACUCAAACUUAUAAUUAUUAAAACAUUAAUCUAAAACUUUACCAGCUAACUAUAUUUGCUACUGUUUCUGUUUGUAGUGCUGUUUGAAGUGGUAGUAGCAGAGGCAAGGUUGUCAAUUCCGUUCCGUUCCGCCCGGAAUGGCCGAAACAUUCCAUACCAAUUCAAAAACGGAACAAAUUCCAUCUCAUUUUAAAUCUCGGCCCGUUCCGGAAAUUCCGGCCAAAUUCCGGCCGAAACGUUCCGGUUUCAUUCCGGUUGUUCCGUUUCGGCCAAAAAAUAUUAUUUUAAAAAAAUUAAUAUAUGGUUUAUAUUAUUUUAAGUUAAAGAUCUAUUUAAUCUUUACUAUUUAAAAAUAUUUUAAAUUUUAAAAUUAUAUUUGUUUGGCAUUAUGUUUGUAUUGCAUAAUUUAUAAUUAAUUUAUCUUGAAUUUGAAUUAUGUUUGUGGAAUAUAUAUAUAUAUAUAUAUGAACAGUACAACCCCGAAACGGCACGCCAAAACACUCCGAAACCGAAACAUUUCGUUCCAAUUGAAAAAACGAAACACCUACCGAAACGGAAUUGACAAACUUGAGCAGAGGUACAGUUGCUUAGCAUUGCAUACAAAUCUCUGUCCAUUUUUAUAAAAUUAGGUGGGCCAUAUAAGUGGGAGCUAAUGUAGUAAAAUAAAAGUGGCUGCAUGAGUGGAGCCUAUUUAAAUUCACCAUAACGACAGCAUUAUUGUUUGAAGUUUAAAUUUACUGUAACGAUAUAAUUAUUGUGUGAAACUUAAAUCAACCAUGACAAUUAAACUGAUAUUUCAAAAUCUAAAUCGGUUGCAACGGUGGACCUAUUUUUUAAAAUUUUAGGUGUUUUUUACUGAUGCAGGGGUAGGCAUAUACAAACUCAUUUUUUUUCUCUAAUUUCUUUUAAUAUAUGCAUCCUUUUAUUCAUUUAUUUGAGAACACGAACUGUUAUUACAAAGCUAGAUAGGCCUGUCUUUGCCCCUUAGCUUAAUGAAGGUAGAAAAACUCAACGAAAGCAUGCAUACAGUACAUGAUGGAUGGUAUAACCGUAUAAAUACAUCAUCUUUUUAGACUUUUCUGGUAGGAAAUUCGUAGUCUGCGCAAUUGGUCCCCUUGGACAAAAUUGAUGAACUGAAACCCAGUUUCUGUGACUGUAGAUCGAAUUGUAGCAAAUUGUCCUCCAACUGAAGACCACCAAUCAUGAUCGAUGGGCCAUCAAUCCCACCAUCCACAAAACCCAAGCACCAAAGAUCAACACUCUUCUUUGUAACCCUCACCAUAGAGUUCGAUCCAAACAUCUUCCAAACCACAUCUUGUCUAUCCAACACAAGUUCGAUUAUUGGUACAGCCGGUCCCAUUUGUGUCGUCUUCACAGCACCCGCAGGGUAGCAGACUUUGAAUGGCUUGACAGGCUUUGUUGUAGUAAGAUUGAAAGCAGAGGAAGCUGCUUCCUUCAAGAAAGCCAGAGUAAAAGCCUUGUAAAUAGAACUGUGUAACUUCAUGUAUGGCACAAGAGUGCUAAUCCUGGUCCCCCCAGAACCUCGAUCAUCAAAGGCCAACAGCGCUUUGUUAAAAGCCACCAUCUUUCCGUUCACUUUUAUGGAAGUCAGCCCUACAUAAUACUCAGGAGAUCUGUGGGAAUACGGAUCAGAAUCUCUUCCAAACGGGUUAAAAAUAAGAGGAGUGUAAAGAAGUGAUUUUGAGAGGUCAAUUCCAUGCAAGAAAUUAUAAGGCCCUUGACUACCGAAAAGAGCCACACCAGGUUGAGAGAUGGAUCCUGACAAGCACAUAGCAAAACAAUUUGGAGAGGAGGAGAAGGCUUUAUUGAUCUGUACUGGGAUUGAGAGGUUCGAGUUGCCCAGGGAGGCUAAGCCAGUUACACCCUUAGCCAGGCCUUUCAGCAAACCAGUUCGAGAACAGGAAAAGAUGAGAUUAUCGAUCGAGGAAAGAGAGCCUAGGUUAUUGAGCAAGGCGAGAUGGUCAACAAGGGCAUCGUUGAGGGUAUUAACUUUCUUGUAGUCAACAGUUUCGAGGGGUUUCUCAAGGAGGAAGAUGAAAGAGUUGUUUGCACAAUUUGGACCCGGCGGACCGUCGCAAAUGUCCU